UUGAAAAGAGAAAGGCUUUUUGUUACAAAAAUGUGACGUUUCUGUUCUACUUGUAUUUAGAAAGUUGAAAUUUAUUGGCCAAAUUCGAAAGUCAGUGCUGUUAAAUUGUUAGUACCACGGCUAUUUUAUCAGUUUCUGCUUAACAUCAAGAUGUGCUUCCAGAACUGCGCCAAGUAUUUGCUUGUUAUUCUAAACAUAGCCAUCUUUGUUGCUGGCGGUGUUAUAGCGGUUGCAGGGUUGCUUCUUUUGUUUGAAUCCGGCCUCCUGAACUCUGAUGUCAUCACACUGUUUAAUGACAUCAAAUAUGGCUCCAUCAAACUUGGCCUCGUUCUUCAAGUCGUCUGCUACAUGAUGAUUGCUACUGGCGGUAUCCUCAUGAUUGUCGCCGUCGUCGGCGUCUGCGCCGCCUGGAAAAAGAUCAAGUGCUGUUUGAUAGUGUUUGUGUUGAUACUCGUAUUCGUUAUCCUGUUGCAAGCGACAUUAGUUGGUUUAUGGAUAAAUGUCAACGGGAGAUCUGAUGAAUGGCUGAAAGGAGAGAUGCUUACACUUAUCGCCGACUACAAAGGGCCUACAGACACGGAUGAUAUAUCCAAGGGCUUCAACAAACUCUUCAUUAAAGCACGAUGUUGUGGUGUUAACAGUUACGCAGACAUGAAAAACCAUCCUACCCAUUGGUACUCGAACCAGGCAUCAGCAGAUCAAGAAAAAGUUCCUGCCACAUGCUGCCAGGGUGUAGAAGACAGUAGUGAUAUUACAGCAAAAGUGAAUUCGGACUGCACACAGACACCAGAAAAUUACUACACAGAGGGCUGUUUCGGCGUGACUAACGACACGAUAUUCACGAAUCUGCUCGUCGUCACCAUCGUUGCUGCUGUCGCCUUCUUGAUCGAGGUUGCAGCUAUCGUGAUGUCGUGUAUGGUCCUGGAUCAAACCAAGAACCGGAUCAGACAUUCGUAAGUCUUCGACUGCGGGAACGUCACAUGCCAAACCGCCGCCUUACAUUGGAAUUGAUGCAGUGUUAAAGAACAAAGGGAAACGUUAAACAAACUGACCUUUACUCAUGUUUCAACACUCUUGUAAACAUUCUGUAUCCCUGGCUUACUCCAAGACGUUUUAAAAUAUCUGAAAAUGUUCUAAAUUGUGUUACUACAAAUGUGCCAUAUUGCCAAAUUCAUGACAAACUACCAACUCUGUUGGAGAAUCAAAAACCACAUGGUAAACUAGCGGCAACAAUUUUUAUUACUUUGUAAAUAACAAAUUGAAUCAUAAAUGUACAUAUUCGUUCUUUUGACAAGAGACGAUAAUCUUCGUUUGAUGUUUUCUUUCUUUUGUUGAAUUUUAUGUCGCAUCGAAACAGUUCCGGUUACAUGGCGAUUUUCCAGCCCUUGUUACGGAGCAACGCUCCGGACAUUGCUUCAGCCUCGUUAGAACCACCGAUCUUACCCAGGUAAAUGGCUUCCUCACAUGAAAAGUCGAACAUGGCUCGAACCAAUAGGACGAAGGGAUUUGAAGUAUGAGACAUUAUCGGCUUGCCUCUUUAUAAGUUUACAUGCCGCUUCCUCAAAUAUAUUUUUAUCAAAUAAAAGUUUGUUCUAAUCAAUUUUAUAUAAAACUUUAUCAUGGAAGAAUGCAAAUACAAACAUCCUGGAGAAUGCUGUCCUACUCUUUUUUUUUCUGUUUGGUCUUGCUUUCAUACAGUCUUAUGUUCCACUAUGACAAAAACCUACGCCUUCCACCUAUGUUGGAAAUAUAGUAUUUGCUUCCAACUUGUUUAUAAUACAAAACAUGUUGGGCACAAAAGUUAUAACUAAACAACGAUAUGUUUGGAAAGAAAUUGAUAAAACCUCCUCUUUUUCGAAAAUAAGAAUUGCUUUAUUUCACAUUUUUGUUUUAUGAUAGAAAUUGUCUGUGAUACUUUUUCUUGUUUGAGUUUUAUUUGUUUGAUUAUUUCAUUUUUAUAAUAAACUAUAAUGUAUUGUGUGACUAAAGUACUGCAUGUUCAUCACAUCCAUGUUGAAUUACUACAAAUUUACAAAAUAUAAGUUUCAUGUUGAAUUACUGUAAAGUCCUUGUAGCAUUACUAGGUAUAUUCAUGUUGCAUUACUAUUGGGCCAGUGUUGCAAAACUGUAAUGACCAUGUUACUGUACUGUAGUGUCCAUGUUGCAUAUCAGUAGUUUCUACUGUAGCAUCAUUGUAAUAUUCAUGUAUUUUGUUAAGCGUUCAUGUUAAAUUACUGUAAUAUCUAUGUUAUAUAGAUGUUGUGUCCAUAUCGUAUUUCAUUACAAUUCAUGUUGCAUUAUGGUAAUAUUCAUGUUGACAUCGUUGCAUUACGGGAGUGUUCAUCUUGCAUUUGUAGAGCUGCAUUGCUGUAAAAUUCAAGUGUUCUUGUUGCUUCACUCUUCAACAUUUCUAUCUCGAAAUUAAGAUCUACUGUAAUUUUGUUUCCUUUUACCGUUUUCGGUUUGUUAUAUUGGUUUGAAUUAUAUUAGUUAGUAAUAUCAUUUUCACGAAUAAAAAUUAAA
rnacentral:misc_RNA from 1 species